UACGUAGGGUGCGAGCGUUGUCCGGAAUCAUUGGGCGUAAAGCGCGCGUAGGCGGCCCGGUAAGUCCGCUGUGAAAGUCCAGGGCUCAACCCUGGAAAGCCGGUGGAUACUGCCGGGCUAGAGUCCGGAAGAGGCGAGUGGAAUUCCUGGUGUAGCGGUGGAAUGCGCAGAUAUCAGGAGGAACACCAAUAGCGAAGGCAGCUCGCUGGGACGGUACUGACGCUGAGGUGCGAAAGCGUGGGGAGCGAACAGG
rnacentral:rRNA from 1 species